AAACGAAGCGAUGGCCGCCGGGCUCUCCAACAACCUCUCGUCCUCCGCCAGCCCCCAGCGCCGCGUCAGCUCCGUCCGGAUGUUGCCCACCACCGUUUUGAGGACGGCGCCGGCUUCUUCGGCUUGUCGGCCGAUGGCGCCCGCCACGCCGUGGACGCAGGGCAGCAGCGAGGAGGCCGAGGCGUUCUGCUCCUCGCGCAGGAAGGCCGUGGCGAUCUUGAUGGUCCUCAGCACCGCGACCAAAUCCUGGAGGAGCUUCCACUGGUGGUCGGCCAGCGCCGGGGCGCCCGCCGCGCCCUUGGGGUGCUCCUCCAGCACGGCCAUCAGGGCCCACUUGAGCUCCAGGAGGCUCUCGCACAUCUCGAUGGUGCUCAGCCACCGCGCGCUCACGUCCAUCACCAGCUUCAGCUUGGUUUUAUUGAUAGCCUCCAGCUUGGCCUUCAGGGAACGGGCGGCCUUGGCGUCCUGCUGGAAAUACCUCACGACGCCGCGGGCCACGCUCAGAGCUUCCCGCACCGGUUCCACCUCCAGGCCCGCCUGCACGCAGAGCUGCAGCCCCCGCGCGGCGCAGCGCAGGCUGCUCCAGCCGUACGUGCUCGGCGCCCGCUGCCAACCCGCCGCCUCGCCCCGCGGCCCGUCCUGCAGCACGCAGAACACCGACCGCCCCGACAGCCCGAACUCCGCCAAAACCCCGGACAGCUUCUCCGCCAGGUCCCCGUCGCCGUCCUCCCGCCGCGUCUCCAUCACGCAGCGCGCCCGCCGCCACUCCCCGUCGAUGAAAUUCGCCGUCACCGUCACGUAGCUCUGGCUCAGCCGCGACGCCCAGAACUCGGCGCAGAGCACGAUGGCCUGCGCCGUCUGCAGGUACCUCUCCACGUGCUGCUUGACGGCGCCGUAACGGUGCCAGAGCAUCCCCGAGAGCUGCGCCGGCGACGGCGGCGUGAAAUUAGGCUCCAGGUAACCCAGCAGCAGGCCGAAUCCUUUAUCCCUCACCACGGAGAGAGGGUGAAGAUCGCGAAAAAUCAUCUCCAGCACCAGCUCCUGGAGGACGUCGCCGCGAGGCUCCGAGCAGGACGCGCCGGCGGGGAGGAGGCCGCUUUCGGGCGGCGUCUGCCGGGAGCGUUUGGCGCCGUUGUCGGCGCCGUAGUCGGGUUCGGAGGCGGGAUCGUCCUUGAGCUGCGGGGGGAGGAGGAGGGUGUCGCGGAUGCUGUGCUUCCUCACCAGGUGCUCCCGCAUGGUCGUGGUGCUGUUGUGGAAAGAAAGCUGCUUCUUGCAGACCGUGCACUCCACGUAAGCGUCGCCCAGUUUGGUGUAAUAAUUCCACACUUUGGAUUUACGCCGGUCGCCGUAGAGCGCGGCGCCCUCUUGGCCCCCGCCCUUCUCCCUCUUCCUCCUCGACGAAGGCCCCAGAGCGGCCGCCACGUUGUGGGGGGCGAAGACCCUCGGGGCGUCGUCUGGGGAGAGAAAAGCAACGCGCCACGUGGCCCCUCUGACCUCAAAUUACAUUCGGGGGAAACCUCCCGCGCUGAUUUUUAUUUUUUUGAGGGAAAAAAAGGCAAAAACACCACACGUACCUUGCGGGGGCUGCGGGUAGGGCUGCGGGGGCAGAGGGAGAGCCGGCUCCUCCGUCGCCUCCUCCUUCGGCUGAGCCUCGCCGCCCUCGCCCUCCGGCUUCAUGUUUUUCUGUAA
rnacentral:lncRNA from 1 species